rnacentral:lncRNA from 1 species
UAAGAAUUGAUGUCGAGUCAACUUUUGUAAGAGGAGGAUUAGUCCGAGCAAAACCUUGAUCGCAACAAGAGUAGGAUUGGUUUGAGCAAAACCUUGAUCUCAACAAGCAGACCUCAAAGCCAAAUGAUCGGAGCACAUGUAGUGGACAUAGCACAACAUUCAACCUUGGUAGAAAACUUGGAGGCCAUUGCCUGUAUCUUGUCCUUCCAAGAAACAAGAGCAUCACCAAGAAAUAUGCACAAGCCAGUGGUAGAACAAUGACUGUCUAGACAGCCAACCAAUCAGUAUUGUAG